rnacentral:lncRNA from 1 species
UUUGAAUAUAACCAACUACAUCCCAAGUUGCAUCAGUAUCAAUGGAUCCAACAUGGUGACCAUCUGCCCCUCAAGUAUUCAUAUCUGCAAACCCUCGUCUAAAGAAAAAUUCAUCCAGAAAUUAAUCACCGAGUAUGCAAGGUUGGCAUGCAUAUUCACGUUUAAUCGUGGCCAUGAUGAUAGGAAUUAAAAAAACACGAAAAUAGGAAUGAUGCACCUUUACUUAGAUCUCAGGGUUCUAAAAUUUGUUGCUGAGAUUUGAGAAACAUAGGAAAUGUGUUUCAUGAUUUCAAAUUAGAUUUGCAUAAGAGUUCAGAAACGCAUACAUCCCUUCUUUUCAUUCCCCUAAACGCUAAAGCCUAGGCUUUCAACACCAAAACACCCAAAUAGUACCAGAACUUUGCAAUGUGCAGGGAAUAUACUAAAAAAAUUUAAACCACAAUCAAGCAUCAUCUAUCUAAACAAAAUCAGAACCCAAACCACAUACAAAAUCUCUAAAUAUAUAAUAAUAAUAAUAAUAAUAAUAAUUCUAGUAGAAAUUCCAAUCCAUUACAACAAAACACAGAAUACCAGGUAUUGCUGGAUGUAGAUAUCCAAAACAGCAGCACCCAUCAAUUGAUCUAAUUACGUAUCCAUUCCCUAUCCAUGGCAUACAAAGUAUGUACUCCCUCUUUACAUGUUAUAAAACAUUUAGUAGACCAGCAAUCAAAAUUAACAACCCUAAUUGCUGUAUACACUAUACACUAUGCUCUCCAACUGAAAAUGUUUAAUUAAAUUUUCCAACUUAAAACCCUAAAUUAAAUCCUACAAAUUGAAAUAGCAGAAACAGAAUUAGAGACAAGGAAGAAAUCACUGACCUUCGAGUUGUUGAAAGCUCUGAUGGGUGUUUCUUUUCAUCCAGCCCUAAAAACAGAACGCACAAUUGUAAUAUAAUAUCCAAUCAUAGGUUAAGAAUCAAAUUAACCCAGCCUGUGUAUAGAAAAAUUGAACAAAUUUAGACAUUUAUAUGUAUGUAUAUUCCAGUAAAAAAGAAUGAAAUGCACUGAACCCUAAAAUGAAAAACUAUGUCAGACUGAUUGAAGAAGAGAAACAGAGAGGGAGAGAGAGUGGGACGGAGAGAAAACCCUAAAAACAGAACCCUCUGGCAACCUAACACAAAAUCAAGCCAACAAAUUCCAUUUCAAUUUUGACAAAACAAAUCGGAAAAAAAUAAUGAAAACCUGAACGAAAUACAGAGGAACUGAUGGGUUUAUGCAUCAACAACUUGAUAAAACCCAGAAACACAAAACCUAAUAUGUAUCAGCUACAAAAACCCAAAUAAAUAAAUAAAACACUCAAAUUUCAAACGAAGAUGUCAUAGAUGGAGGAAGAGAGAAGUGACAGAGAGGGAGAGAUACUUACUCAACCCCACCAUCUCUCCGCAGCCAACACACUGAUUCCCUCAACCCUACCCUCAAAUCUUGUACCCAAUCAACUCUCUUUCUGUCCCCCUAAUCGUGCACCCGCCGUCACCUUCUCUCUGCAACCAAACCCCUCUCCUCCCCCAUAUCACACCCCCACCUGUGAAGGCAGUGACAGCAGACCACCUCCCUAGAAACCGGCCCUAAAAACCCAUACCCAUACCUCCCUUACCCGUUCCCUUUAACCCUCGCAUAAAAUCCUCCCAUCUCUCUCUCACCCUUGUCCCAUCUCUCUGUCUCUGCAAAUCGCAGAAAACAAACCCUAAACCAAAUCCCUAAAAUCCUGCCUCAAUCCCCCCACACUUCUAUUGGACACUCCCUAUCUCUCUCUGCAAUGCGUAAAACAAAUCUCCUAAAUCCUAUCUCGGACAUUGUAACCUGAAUCAAGCUGGUUUCACACAUACCAAUAGAAAACCAAAAUAUCAAUGUUGGGGAAGUUACCUUAUUUGAAAUACCACCAAAAAACAGAGUAUACUUUUAGGCAAAUAUUGUUUAAACACCCAAACAUAAUUCAUGAUAUGUGCCAAAAAGAAAAUACCUCUCGAUUAGAUUUCCUUCGUUCACAAGCUUUCUCCCUGACAAACUCUUGAGAUAGAACCAAAAAAGAAAAUA